UGCUAACUUUUGCAGCACAAUACUAGAAGUAAACCAACACAGAGAUUAGCAUAGUCCCUGUAUAAGAAUGACACGAAAAUUCCUGAAGCACUCCGUAUGUUU
ensembl:snRNA U6 U6 spliceosomal RNA